UAGUAGGACUUGUACAGUUGGAGUAGCACGAGUACUACUAUCAGUAGUACUAGUAGUAUGUACUAGUCCAACUACUACUAG
rnacentral:tRNA from 1 species